rnacentral:rRNA from 1 species
GCCUACGACCAUCUCACCCUGAAUGCGCCCGAUCUCGUCUGAUCUCGGAAGCUAAGCAGAGUCGAGCCUGGUUAGGUACUUGGAUGGGAGACUGCCUGGAAAUACCAGGUGUUGUAGGCU